rnacentral:rRNA from 1 species
UUGCACUAAAUGAAACUAGAUACAAGCGAGCGGCGGACGGGUGAGUAACACGUGGGUAACCUGCCCAAGAGACUGGGAUAACACCUGGAAACAGAUGCUAAUACCGGAUAACAACACUAGACGCAUGUCUAGAGUUUGAAAGAUGGUUCUGCUAUCACUCUUGGAUGGACCUGCGGUGCAUUAGCUAGUUGGUAAGGUAACGGCUUACCAAGGCAAUGAUGCAUAGCCGAGUUGAGAGACUGAUCGGCCACAUUGGGACUGAGACACGGCCCAAACUCCUACGGGAGGCAGCAGUAGGGAAUCUUCCACAAUGGACGAAAGUCUGAUGGAGCAACGCCGCGUGAGUGAAGAAGGGUUUCGGCUCGUAAAGCUCUGUUGGUAGUGAAGAAAGAUAGAGGUAGUAACUGGCCUUUAUUUGACGGUAAUUACUUAGAAAGUCACGGCUAACUACGUGCCAGCAGCCGCGGUAAUACGUAGGUGGCAAGCGUUGUCCGGAUUUAUUGGGCGUAAAGCGAGUGCAGGCGGUUCAAUAAGUCUGAUGUGAAAGCCUUCGGCUCAACCGGAGAAUUGCAUCAGAAACUGUUGAACUUGAGUGCAGAAGAGGAGAGUGGAACUCCAUGUGUAGCGGUGGAAUGCGUAGAUAUAUGGAAGAACACCAGUGGCGAAGGCGGCUCUCUGGUCUGCAACUGACGCUGAGGCUCGAAAGCAUGGGUAGCGAACAGGAUUAGAUACCCUGGUAGUCCAUGCCGUAAAACGAUGAGUGCUAAGUGUUGGGAGGUUUCCGCCUCUCAGUGCUGCAGCUAACGCAUUAAAGCACUCCGCCUGGGGAGUACGACCGCAAGGUUGAAACUCAAAGGA